rnacentral:rRNA from 1 species
GAUGAACGCCGGCGGUGUGCCUAAUACAUGCAAGUCGUACGCACUGGCCCAACUAAUUGAUGGUGCUUGCACCUGAUUGACGAUGGAUCACCAGUGAGUGGCGGACGGGUGAGUAACACGUAGGUAACCUGCCCCGGAGCGGGGGAUAACAUUUGGAAACAGAUGCUAAUACCGCAUAACAACAAAAGCCGCAUGGCUUUUGUUUGAAAGAUGGCUUUGGCUAUCACUCUGGGAUGGACCCGCGGUGCAUUAGCUAGUUGGUGGGGUAACGGCCUACCAAGGCUGCGAUGCAUAGCCGACCUGAGAGGGUGAUCGGCCACACUGGGACUGAGACACGGCCCAG